rnacentral:rRNA from 1 species
AACGAACGCUGGCGGCAGGCUUAAUACAUGCAAGUCGAGCGCGUAGCAAUACGAGCGGCAGACGGGUGAGUAACGCGUGGGAAUCUACCCAGCUCUACGGAAUAACCCAGGGAAACUUGGGCUAAUACCGUAUACGUCCGAGCGGAGAAAGAGUUAUCGGAGUUGGAUGAGCCAGGGUUGGAUUAGCCGGUUGGUGGGGUAAUGGCCUACCAAGGCGACGAUCCAUAGCUGGUCUGAGAGGAUGAUCAGCGAGACGGGGACGGAGACACGGCCCAAAUGCCGACGGGGGGCAGCAGUAGGGAAUAUUGGACAAUGGGCGAAAGCUUGAUCCAGCCAUGCCGGGUGAGUGAUGAAGGCCCUAGGGUUGUAAAGCUCUUUCACCGGUGAAGAUAAGGACGGUAACCGGAGAAGAAGCCCCGGCUAACUUCGUGCCAGCAGCCGCCGUAACAC